UACAGAGGUGGCAAGCGUUGUUCGGAAUUACUGGGCGUAAAGGGCGAGUAGGUGGCCAUCUAAGUCAGACGUGAAAUCCCCCGGCUUAACCUGGGAACUGCGUCUGAUACUGGACGGCUAGAGUUUGGGAGAGGGAUGCAGAAUUCCAGGUGUAGCGGUGAAAUCCGUAGAUAUUAGGAGGAACACCGGUGGCGAAGGCGGCUACCUGGACCGAUAUUGACGCUGAGACGCGAAAGCGUGGGGAGCAAACAGG
rnacentral:rRNA from 1 species